AUUUUCCGGUUGAUCCUGCCGGACCCUACUGCUAUCGGGGUGGGACUUAAACAUGCGAGUCGAACGACUCUAAGCCAAUAUAGAGUCGUGGCAUACGGCUCAGUAACACGUGGCCAACCCACCCUCGGGACGGAGACAACCCCGGGAAACUGGGGCCAACCCCCGAUAGGCGAAGACACCUGGAACGGGUCUCCACCCAAAAAGCGUUAAGGUUACGCUCCUUAACAUUGCCCGAGGACGGAGCCGCGACCGAUCAGGCUGUUGGUGAGGCAACGGCUCACCAAACCUAUAACCGGUACGGGCCGUGGGAGCGGGAGCCCGGAGAUGGGCACUGAGACAAGGGCCCAGGCCCUACGGGGCGCAGCAGUUGCGAAAACUUGUCAAUGCACGAAAGUGUGAACGGGCUACCCCGAGUGCCGUCCGCUGAGGAUGGCUUUUCUCUGCUGUAAGGAGGCGGAGGAAUAAGGCGAGGGCAAGUCUGGUGUCAGCCGCCGCGGUAAUACCAGCUCGCCGAGUGGUAGGGAUGAUUAUUGGGCUUAAAGCGUCCGUAGCCGGCCUUCCAAGUCUCUCGUUAAAUCCAGCGAUUCAAUCGUUGGACUGCGGGAGAUACUGUUAGGCUAGGGGGCGGGAGAAGCCGACGGUAUUUCCGGGGUAGGGGUAAAAUCCUAUAAUCCCGGGAAGACCACCAGUGGCGUAGGCGGUCGGCUAGCACGCGCUCGACGGUGAGGGACGAAAGCUGGGGGAGCGAACCGGAUUAGAUACCCGGGUAGUCCCAGCUGUAAACGAUGCUGGCUAGGUGUUGGAGCGGCUACGAGCCGCUUCAGUGCCGCAGGGAAGCCAUUAAGCCAGCCGCCUGGGGAGUACGGCCGCAAGGCUGAAACUUAAAGGAAUUGGCGGGGGAGCACCACAAGGGGUGAAGCUUGCGGUUUAAUUGGAUUCAACGCCGGAAAU
rnacentral:rRNA from 1 species